AAACCUCAAAUCAGGCAAGGCUACCCGCUGAAUUUAAGCAUAUUAAUAAGCGG
rnacentral:rRNA from 1 species